UAGGGAAUCUUCCACAAUGGGCGCAAGCCUGAUGGAGCAACACCGCGUGAGUGAAGAAGAGCUUCGGCUCGUAAAGCUCUGUUGUUAAAGAAGAACACGUAUGAGAGUAACUGUUCAUACGUUGACGGUAUUUAACCAGAAAGUCACGGCUAACUACGUGCCAC
rnacentral:rRNA from 1 species